rnacentral:rRNA from 1 species
UACGAAGGGGGCUAGCGUUGUUCGGAAUUACUGGGCGUAAAGCGUGCGCAGGCGGCUUCUCAAGUCAGGGGUGAAAGCCCAGAGCUCAACUCUGGAAUUGCCUUUGAGACUGGGUGGUUUGAGUACGAGAGAGGUGAGUGGAAUUCCCAGUGUAGAGGUGAAAUUCGUAGAUAUUGGGAAGAACACCGGUGGCGAAGGCGGCUCACUGGCCCGAUACUGACGCUGAGGCACGAAAGCGUGGGGAGCAAACAGG